rnacentral:rRNA from 1 species
AUGCAGGCUGCUUGCCGCCUGCGGAAGUUCACGGAGCUCACCGCAACAAAUCUCAGGAUCCUCUGUGACGCGCUCGAGCUGAGUGUUCCGUGGCACGGGAGCAAUGUCCCCGGCAUAUCGAGCACGGUGCUCCGGUGCCGAUCCGGCGUGACGAGGACUAAGCCGUCUGGCACGUCGUCGUCGACCUGGCUGCUCUUCCUAGGAAGGGAUGGUGGCGGCAAGAUGGCGGUUGCUCGGGAGCUCGCGAGGCUCGUGUUUGGCUCCUACGCCGAGUUCACCGCCCUGCAGGUGCAGGGUAACGCCGACAUUCCCGCACACGGCAGCAAGCUUGCCCUCAAGAGGCCGAGAUCAACGGACACAGACAACGACGGCGACCUCAUGGCGAGGCUGUUCGAAGCGGUCAGGGAGAACCCUCACCGCGUUAUAUUGAUCGACGGCGUCGACCGACUGGAUUGCGACUCGGAGAUGCAAAUCAAGAGCGCCGUCACGGGUGGAGGAAUGGUAAGGGGAUGCAACGGCGACGUGGUCGGCCUGGAGGAUGCCAUCAUAGUGUUGAGCGCCUCUGACGUCUUGGACUCGAGAUAUCUGGCUUCAUCUUCCUCUCCACGGGUGAAGCGACGCUUUUGCGGACAGAACCGUGAGGAAGGUGGCUCCGUGGAGAUGGAAGUGAGAUCUCGUCAUCGUCAAGGCUUGGAUUUGAACGUUUGUGCGGUGGGUGAGGAAGACGGUUUGGCUGAUGAUGAUGGGAUCCUAAAUGCCGUGGAUGGUGUUUUCCUUUUCAAUUAG